rnacentral:misc_RNA from 1 species
UUUCCGUAGGUGAACCUGCGGAAGGAUCAUUAUUGUAUAACCGAGGUGCGAGGGCUGUCGCUGACCCGAAAGGUCGUGCACGCCCGAGUGCCCUCACACACAUCCAUCUCACCCCUAUGUGCACCACCGCGUGGGUCCCCCUUUGGCUUGUUCGGAGGGGGGCUUACGUUUUCACACACACUUUGUACGCAGUGUAGAAUGUAUUUUUUGUUUUUGCGAUCACGCAAUCAAUACAACUUUCAACAACGGAUCUCUUGGCUCUC